rnacentral:rRNA from 1 species
UGGGGAAUAUUGGGCAAUGGGGGCAACCCUGACCCAGCGACGCCGCGUGGGGGAAGACGGCCUUCGGGUUGUAAACCUCUUUUGUACGGGAAGAAGGAAGUGACGGUACUGUACGAAUAAGUCCCGGCUAACUACGUGCCAGCAGCCGCGGUAAUACGUAGGGGACGAGCGUUGUCUGGAAUUACUGGGCGUAAAGGGCGCGCAGGCUGUGCUGCAAGUUAGCUGUUAAAUGUCUGGGCUUAACCCGGGCAUGCGGUUGAGACUGCGGUGCUGGAGUGCUGUAGAGGCAAGUGGAAUUCCCAGUGUAGCGGUGAAAUGCGUAGAUAUUGGGGAGAACACCGGUGGCGAAGGCGACUUGCUGGGCAGCAACUGACGCUGAGGCGCGAAAGCCAGGGGAGCAAACGG